rfam:Schistosoma haematobium scaffold1380_3, whole genome shotgun sequence.
AUUCAACUGACGAGUCCCAAAUAGGAAGAAACGCGUCCUGGAU